ensembl:snoRNA
UUCUAAAGUGUUGAGUUCAGUCCAGGGUGGAUCCCCUGCUCUGUUAAUUGAACUGGAACAUUUAAACUGGCUAGGCAAAAUGCCUACAUAGAAAGCAUUACUCUUUAUUCAUCCCCAGCCUACAAAA